GCUUACUCAUAAAUAACAGGGGUGUAAUUUCGUACAAAAAGGUGUUGGUAGGAUGACAAUCUCUUUGGAAUAUUUUGUUCAACUAAUGUUUUUUUAUUCUUCUCACUCAGGAUAAAGCGAUUGGACGAGGCGUGCCUUGAGAGUAUCAACAAUACAAUAGAACAUACAUCCAGUCAUGGAUUCUUCAGGGUCCAUGUGAAUGGCAGAGUUGUGAACAAAGCUGGAACGCAAGUAUCUGACAAGUCAAUCAUAUAACUCAAGGUUGAAAUCCUGAAAUAUGUAUGUAGGGUUGGGCAUAAGCUUGAGGCAGCUGUCAAAGAAUUUGGAGUUGACUGUGAUGGAAAGAUAGCCCGUGAUCCAGCGCUGUCUACAGUUGUUUCGUCGCUAUGAGGGUCUGGUGUUUGACGACCACCCCGUGCGUUCAUGCAAACGAGACAUUGCAAACGAUAUUUAAUUUGGUGCAACAUAACUCCCGACAAGCAUCAACGUCUGCCAUUAGGGCGAGCAAGAACCCUGAUCCUCCUCCGUCAGCCACUACCGCGAGCAAGAACCUUGAUCC